AACGAACGCUGGCGGCGCGUCUUAAGCAUGCAAGUCGAACGGCAAGAGAGGAGCUUGCUUCUCUCCUAGAGUGGCGGACUGGUGAGGAACACGUGGGUAAUCUACCCUUAAGAUGGGGAUAGCUGCUAGAAAUAGCAGGUAAUACCGAAUACACUCGGCAUAUCACAAGAGGUGUUGAGGAAAGGAAGCUACGGCUUCGCUUGAGGAUGAGCUUGCGUCCCAUUAGCUAGUUGGUGAGGUAAAGGCCCACCAAGGCGACGAUGGGUAUCCGGCCUGAGAGGGUGAACGGACACAUUGGGACUGGGAUACGGCCCAAACUCCUACGGGAGGCAGCAGCUAAGAAUAUUCCGCAAUGGACGGAAGUCUGACGGAGCGACGCCGCGUGGAUGAAGAAGGCUGAAAAGUUGUAAAAUCCUUUUGUUGAUGAAGAAUAAGGGUGAGAGGGAAUGCUCAGCUGAUGACGGUAAUCGACGAAUAAGCCCCGGCUAAUUACGUG
rnacentral:rRNA from 1 species